rnacentral:misc_RNA from 1 species
GAUGAAGAACGUAGCGAAAUGCGAUAAGUAAUGCGAAUUGCAGAAUUUCCGUGAGUCAUCGAAUCUUUGAACGCACAUUGCGCCCACUGGUAUUCCGGUGGGCAUGCCUGUUCGAGCGUCAUUUCAACCAUCAAGCCCCAGCGCUUGUGUUGGGGGCCUGCGGCUGCCGCAGCCCCCUAAAAGCAGUGGCGGGCUCGCUAUCACACCGAGUGCAGUAGUUCAUCUUCUCUCCGGUCUUGUGAGGCGGGUUCCGGCCGUGAAACACCCCACUACAUUCAAGGUUGACCUCGGAUCAGGUAGGAAUACCCGCUGAACUUAAGCAUAUCAAUAAGCGGAGGA